rnacentral:lncRNA from 1 species
UUGAACUUCAUUUCGGUUGUAAACUAAAGUCUUCCUUAGAAUUGCCCUGUUAUUGCCCAUGUAGGGUUGGAUUUAAGGCCGAAGGCCUAUUCUGUAAACUGUGCGCUUUUACAUUGUGCGUGCUGCCAAUUGGACUAUUAUUACUAUUUUUCGACAGGUUGAAAUUUUGAAAAAAGUCCAUUUUUCAUGGGAGACUCUGCCGAAAUUUCUGUAGAAAGUCUCGAGUCCUCUUUUCCUUUGUUUUCGGAGAAGAAUAUGUUGUUAGUAAGUGGGCCCAACAUCAAUUUGAUGUCGAAGAAACCACAAGGUUCGUCACGAAUUUCGAGGUGUCACCCACCCCCACCUUUCUGCCAUGGUUGUUGCUGGUCUUUCUUUUUUUAUAUGUCUUUG